GCCAGAUUUCCUCCUCGCAGCCGCCAAGAGGACAGGAGAGAGCGGCCCGCGAGGCUGCGUGGGGAAAGUUCACGAGAGGAACUGCGGGGUUCGCUGAGGGCCCGGCCGGGCAGUGCGGGGCAACCCCCGAAAAGCCACGGUGACAGCGGGAGAAAUGUGGGGAGAGCAGUAAAUACUGGGAGUUCCCACCGCGAGUCGUGCUGGGUUUUGUUCCCACUGCCCGUGGCCCUUUUUCUCUUUGACAAACCAACAGAACCGCUGCUCCCCGUGUGCAUAUACACAGACAUAGAUAUGUGGGUGCCUAUGGAUGUAUAGGAGCGUACUCAGAACCGGAACGCAGCCGGACCCGCACACCGAGCCCGGCCGUAUUCGGGGCCCUUUCUGACCUCCGUAACGUCACAGCUCUGCGGGAACAGCGUUACGGGAACGGGGCUCCACGAUAAAGGGACGGGAGGAGCUAAGAGGUGUCAUAACGGGGAGCAGAAGGCACACCGUAGCCCCGUGCCUGUGCCUGCGCUUCCCCAAAUGUGCGCGACCUGCGCCGCUCCGAGAGAAGAACCGCACGUGUGCGCGGAUCUCUGCCGGUGUAGUGAACUCCUGCACAGAGCGAACCCGUCCCGAAACAAAAGGCGAACGGACACUGCCGUCCCCGCGUGCCCGGUGCCACUUUGUCACGUCCCUUUAGCGCAGCUCCGAAGCGCUCCUCUCAAAGCCAUCGGCCCACGAGAGCGGCUCUGCGGGCGCAGCGCUCGGCUUCCUCCGCUGUAAGGAGCGGGGACGAUCCCAGCCCCGCUCAGGUCUGAGCGCGUCGGGACGCAGCGGAGUAACGGAUUCUUUGUGUACAAAGCGGGGAGGAAAUAGAAAACAAAGUGCAGGAAUGAGGGGUAGGAGCCGGGGCUGGGUGCAGCUCCCCCCUCCCUCGUUCCCGCAGCACCAUUCGUUUACAUCCGCAAUUCCGCAUCUUUCAGAUAAAUUACGCAUCGGCGUAAUAGAUUUAAAGCACGCCAGAUUUUUUAUCAUUAAUUGUCAAUGUGCAAAAUACCUGCUGGUACUUCACUUUAGAAGAAUGUAAUUGGCAAAAAUGGGAGGCUGAUGAAUAGAUAAUAGAUCCUUAACUACCAAUAAACAGUAAGCACCAGCCAAGAGU
ensembl:lncRNA